AUUGAACGCUGGCGGCAUGCCUUACACAUGCAAGUCGAACGGCAGCGGGGGAGAAGCUUGCUUUUCCUGCCGGCGAGUGGCGAACGGGUGAGUAAUACAUCGGAACGUGCCCUGUAGUGGGGGAUAACUAGUCGAAAGAUUAGCUAAUACCGCAUACGACCUGAGGGUGAAAGUGGGGGACCGCAAGGCCUCAUGCUAUAGGAGCGGCCGAUGUCUGAUUAGCUAGUUGGUGGGGUAAAGGCCUACCAAGGCGACGAUCAGUAGCUGGUCUGAGAGGAAGAUCGGCAACACUGGGCGGGAGACACGGCGCAGACUCCUAAGGGAGGCAGCAGUGGGGAAUUCUGGACAAUGGGCGAAAGCCUGAUCCAGCCAUUCCGCGUGCAGGAUGAAGGCCUUCGGGUUGUAAACUGCUUUUGUACAGAACGAAAAGGUUUUUUCUAAUAAAGAGAGCCCAUGACGGUACUGUAAGAAUAAGCACCGGCAAACUACGUGCCAGCCGACGCCGUAA
rnacentral:rRNA from 1 species